AGUGAACGCUGGCGGUAGGCCUAACACAUGCAAGUCGAACGGCAGCACAGUAAGAGCUUGCUCUUACGGGUGGCGAGUGGCGGACGGGUGAGGAAUACAUCGGAAUCUACUUUUUCGUGGGGGAUAACGUAGGGAAACUUACGCUAAUACCGCAUACGACCUACGGGUGAAAGCAGGGGAUCUUCGGACCUUGCGCGAUUGAAUGAGCCGAUAUCGGAUUAGCUAGUUGGCGGGGUGAAGGCCCACCAAGGCGACGAUCCGUAGCUGGUCUGAGAGGAUGAUCAGCCACACUGGAACUGAGACACGGUCCAGACUCCUACGGGAGGCAGCAGUGGGGAAUAUUGGACAAUGGGCGCAGGCCUGAUCCAGCCAUACCGCGUGGGUGAAGAAGGCCUUCGGGUUGUAAAGCCCUUUUGUUGGGAAAGAAAAGCAGCAGGUUAAUACCCCGCUGUUCUGACGGUACCCAAAGAAUAAGCACCGGCUAACUUCGUG
rnacentral:rRNA from 1 species